rnacentral:rRNA from 1 species
CGCAUCUGUGCAUGCAGCAUAUCAAUAAGCGGAGGAAAAGAAAAUAACAAUGAUUCCCCUAGUAACGGCGAGUGAACAGGAAAGAGCUCAAAGUUGGAACCUGCUUGACUUAGUUAAGCCGGAUUGUAAACUGUAGAAACGUUUUCUAGGCAAGCCGAGUUAAAAAGUCCUUUGGAACAGGGCAUCAUAGAGGGUGAGAAUCCCGUCUUUGACUCGAGUAUUUUGUCUUUUUAUGAUACGUUUUCCAAGAGUCAGGUUGUUUGGGAAUGCAGCCUAAAUUGGGUGGUAAAUCUCACCUAAAGCUAAAUAUUGGCGAGAGACCGAUAGCGAACAAGUACCGUGAGGGAAAGAUGAAAAGAACUUUGAAAAGAGAGUUAAACAGUACGUGAAAUUGUCAAAAGGGAAGCGUUUGACACCAGUGUUGUUUUUCCGAAAAUCAAUUACGAAUGGCUUGAUUUUGUGUUGUAUUGACCUUAUCAGCUUUCUGCACUUUUUUCGAGUCUUUCUUAAUGCACUUUUUGGUUAACAAGUCAACAUCAAUUUCUCUUGUUGUAAAAGAGUAUUCGGAAGGUGGCUUUCUUUUCGGAGAAAGUGUUUAUAGCCCUAUACUUCUACAAUCGGAGAGAUUGAGGUCUGCAGCGUUGAUCCUUCGGGGUUAGAUACACUUGUGCUAAGUUGUAGCUUUUCAUAGACAACUUGUUGACUAUGUUUAGUCAUGCGGCUUACUCGCUUGUGCUAUUUUACCUACGCUUAGGAUGUUGACUGAUAUGUAGUCGU